GACGAACGCUGGCGGCGUGCCUAAUACAUGCAAGUCGAACGCAGUGGGGACGGGUGAGUAACACGUGGGUAACCUCCCAUCAGAGGGGAUAACACUUGGAAACAGGUGCUAAACCGAUACUGAUGGAUGGACCCGCGGGGCAUUAGCUAGUUGGUGAGGUAACGGCUCACCAAGGCCACGAUGCAUAGCCGACCUGAGAGGGUGAUCGGCCACACUGGGACUGAGACACGGCCCAGACUCCUACGGGAGGCAGCAGUAGGGAAUCUUCGGCAAUGGACGAAAGUCUGAUCGAGCCAGGCCGCGUGUGUGAAGAAGGUUUUCGGGUCGUAAAGCUCUGUCGUUAGGGAAGCGGUACCUAACCAGGAAGCCCCGGCUAACUACGUGCCAGCAGCCGCGGUAAUAC
rnacentral:rRNA from 1 species